rnacentral:rRNA from 1 species
GAGUUUGAUCCUGGCUCAGAACGUACGCUGGCGGCACGCCUAACACAUGCAAGUCGAACGAAGUAGCAAUACUUAGUGGCAGACGGGUGAGUAACAUGUAGGUAUCUGCCCUUUGGCCUGGAAUAACACGAGGAAACUUGUGCUAAUACCGGAUAAGUCUUUACGGAGAAAGCUUUAUGCACCAUUGGAUGAGCCUGCACUUGAUUAGUUUGUUGGUGGGGUAAUGGCCUACCAAGACUGUGAUCAAUAGCUGAUUUGAGAGGAUGAUCAGCCACAUUGGGACUGAGACACGGCCCAAACUCCUACGGGAGGCAGCAGUGGGGAAUCUUGCACAAUGGAGGAAACUCUGAUGCAGCGAUGCCGCGUGAGUGAAGAAGGCCCUUGGGUUGUAAAGCUCUUUCGUCGGGGAAGAAAAUGACUGUACCCGAAUAAGAAGGUCCGGCUAACUUCGUGCCAGCAGCCGCGGUAAUACGAAGGGACCUAGCGUAGCUCGGAAUUACUGGGCUUAAAGAGUUCGUAGGUGGUUGAAAAAGUUAGUGGUGAAAUCCCAGAGCUUAACUCUGGAACUGCCAUUAAAACUUUUCAGCUAGAGUAUGAUAGAGGAAAGCAGAAUUUCUAGUGUAGAGGUGAAAUUCGUAGAUAUUAGAAAGAAUACCGAUUGCGAAGGCAGCUUUCUGGAUCAUUACUGACACUGAGGAACGAAAGCAUGGGUAGCGAGAGGAUUAGAU